AGGGGGCUGUCAUAUUUUGCUAAAGCUUCUCGGCUGGAACAUUGUGAGGAGAGAAAAAAUGUUGUUCAUGGAUAUUGAUCAUGGAUGAAUGAGAGCAUUGAUUUUUAUUUUUUUUUACUUUCGCUGACUCACCAUUUAAUUUUAUUGAAUCAUCUUUGCUUUACUUUUGAGAUGAGCGUUGAUUCACUUGCAAGGAUAAAGCACACACGCCAUUUGCUUUGAAGUAGCAUCAGGUCUUGGACGCCGCAUCACACAUUAGAAGAUAGCACACGACAUUUUAUUUGUUUUUUGCUGGAGAAAAC
rnacentral:lncRNA from 1 species